GACGAACGCUGGCGGCGUGCUUAACACAUGCAAGUCGAACGGUGAUCUUGAGAGCUUGCUCUUGGGUGAUCAGUGGCGAACGGGUGAGUAACACGUGAGUAACCUGCCCCUGACUCCGGAAUAACUUCGGGAAACCGAAGCUAAUACCGGAUAUGACACAGAGCCGCAUGGUUUCUGUGUGGAAAGUUUCUCGGUUGGGGAUGGACUCGCGGCCUAUCAGCUUGUUGGUGAGGUAAUGGCUCACCAAGGCGACGACGGGUAGCCGGCCUGAGAGGGCGACCGGCCACACUGGGACUGAGACACGGCCCAGACUCCUACGGGAGGCAGCAGUGGGGAAUAUUGCACAAUGGGCGAAAGCCUGAUGCAGCGACGCCGCGUGAGGGAUGAAGGCCUUCGGGUUGUAAACCUAUUUCAGUAGGGAAGAAGCGCAAGUGACGGUACCUACAGAAGAAGCACCGGCUAACUACGUGCCAGCAGCCGCGGUAAGAC
rnacentral:rRNA from 1 species